rnacentral:rRNA from 1 species
AAUGGGGAAACCCAGUGUGAUUCGUCACACUAUCAUUAACUGAAUCCAUAGGUUAAUGAGGCGAACCGGGGGAACUGAAACAUCUAAGUACCCCGAGGAAAAGAAAUCAACCGAGAUUCCCCCAGUAGCGGCGAGCGAACGGGGAGGAGCCCAGAGCCUGAAUCAGCAUGUGUGUUAGUGGAAGCGUCUGGAAAGGCGCGCGAUACAGGGUGACAGCCCCGUACACAAAAGCGCAUGUGCUGUGAGCUCGAUGAGUAGGGCGGGACACGUGGUAUCCUGUCUGAAUAUGGGGGGACCAUCCUCCAAGGCUAAAUACUCCUGACUGACCGAUAGUGAACCAGUACCGUGAGGGAAAGGCGAAAAGAACCCCGGCGAGGGGAGUGAAAAAGAACCUGAAACCGUGUACGUACAAGCAGUGGGAGCACCCUUUGGGUGUGACUGCGUACCUUUUGUAUAAUGGGUCAGCGACUUAUAUUCUGUAGCAAGGUUAACCGAAUAGGGGAGCCGGAGGGAAACCGAGUCUUAAUUGGGCGUUAAGUUGCAGGGUAUAGACCCGAAACCCGGUGAUCUAGCCAUGGGCAGGUUGAAGGUUGGGUAACACUAACUGGAGGACCGAACCGACUAAUGUUGAAAAAUUAGCGGAUGACCUGUGGCUGGGGGUGAAAGGCCAAUCAAACCGGGAGAUAGCUGGUUCUCCCCGAAAGCUAUUUAGGUAGCGCCUCGUGAAUUCAUCUCCGGGGGUAGAGCACUGUUUCGGCUAGGGGGCCAUCCCGGCUUACCAACCCGAUGCAAACUGCGAAUACCGGAGAAUGUUAUCACGGGAGACACACGGCGGGUGCUAACGUCCGUCGUGAAGAGGGAAACAACCCAGACCGCCAGCUAAGGUCCCAAAGUCAUGGUUAAGUGGGAAACGAUGUGGGAAGGCCCAGACAGCCAGGAUGUUGGCUUAGAAGCAGCCAUCAUUUAAAGAAAGCGUAAUAGCUCACUGGUCGAGUCGGCCUGCGCGGAAGAUGUAACGGGGCUAAACCAUGCACCGAAGCUGCGGCAGCGACACUGUGUGUUGUUGGGUA